rnacentral:rRNA from 1 species
UGCAAGUCGAGCGGUAACAGGAAGAAAGCUUGCUUUUUUGCUGACGAGCGGCGGACGGGUGAGUAAUGCCUGGGAAAUUGCCCUGAUGUGGGGGAUAACCAUUGGAAACGAUGGCUAAUACCGCAUGAUGCCCUUGCUUAUAAUGAGCAGGGGCCAAAGAGGGGGACCUUCGGGCCUCUCGCGUCAGGAUAUGCCCAGGUGGGAUUAGCUAGUUGGUGAGGUAAUGGCUCACCAAGGCGACGAUCCCUAGCUGGUCUGAGAGGAUGAUCAGCCACACUGGAACUGAGACACGGUCCAGACUCCUACGGGAGGCAGCAGUGGGGAAUAUUGCACAAUGGGCGCAAGCCUGAUGCAGCCAUGCCGCGUGUAUGAAGAAGGCCUUCGGGUUGUAAAGUACUUUCAGUCGUGAGGAAGGGGGUAUCGUUAAUAGCGGUAUUCUUUGACGUUAGCGACAGAAGAAGCACCGGCUAACUCCGUGCCAGCAGCCGCGGUAAUACGGAGGGUGCGAGCGUUAAUCGGAAUUACUGGGCGUAAAGCGCAUGCAGGUGGUUUGUUAAGUCAGAUGUGAAAGCCCGGGGCUCAACCUCGGAGUUGCAUUUGAAACUGGCAGGCUAGAGUACUGUAGAGGGGGGUAGAAUUUCAGGUGUAGCGGUGAAAUGCGUAGAGAUCUGAAGGAAUACCGGUGGCGAAGGCGGCCCCCCUGGACAGAUACUGACACUCAGAUGCGAAAGCGUGGGGAGCAAACAGGAUUAGAUACCCUGGUAGUCCACGCCGUAAACGAUGUCUACUUGGAGGUUGUGGCCUUGAGCCGUGGCUUUCGGAGCUAACGCGUUAAGUAGACCGCCUGGGGAGUACGGUCGCAAGAUUAAAACUCAAAUGAAUUGACGGGGGCCCGCACAAGCGGUGGAGCAUGUGGUUUAAUUCGAUGCAACGCGAAGAACCUUACCUACUCUUGACAUCUACAGAAUCCUGCGGAGACGCGGGAGUGCCUUCGGGAACUGUAAGACAGGUGCUGCAUGGCUGUCGUCAGCUCGUGUUGUGAAAUGUUGGGUUAAGUCCCGCAACGAGCGCAACCCUUAUCCUUGUUUGCCAGCACUAAUGGUGGGAACUCCAGGGAGACUGCCGGUGAUAAACCGGAGGAAGGUGGGGACGACGUCAAGUCAUCAUGGCCCUUACGAGUAGGGCUACACACGUGCUACAAUGGCGCAUACAGAGGGCGCAAGCUAGCGAUAGUGAGCGAAUCCCAAAAAGUGCGUCGUAGUCCGGAUUGGAGUCUGCAACUCGACUCCAUGAAGUCGGAAUCGCUAGUAAUCGUGGAUCAGAAUGCCACGGUGAAUACGUUCCCGGGCCUUGUACACACCGCCCGUCACACCAUGGGAGUGGGCUGCUAAAAGAAGCAGGUAGUUUAACCUUCGGGAGGACGCUUGCC